rnacentral:snoRNA from 1 species
UGUAGUAUUACCAUUUUAAAAAGUUCAUCUAGUGAAUGUGGUGUCAAAAAAGGCGUAAACUACACACUUUGCAGCCCUUUCCUGCCCUUGAAUUUGAUGUCUUUGGUAGAGGAGCUGUGUAAGUAACAGUU